AACGAACGCUGGCGGUGCGCCUAACACAUGCAAGUCGAACGGGGUUAUAGUUUGAAUUUGGCUUCGGCCUUUGGAUUACUAUAACUUAGUGGCGAACGGGUGAGUAACACAUAGGGAACCAACCCCUGGGAUUGGGAUACUCCCGGGAAACCGGGCACAAUACCGAAUAUGAUCACGAGGCGAAAUUCUUUGUGAUGAAAGCUUCGAGCAAUCGAAGUACCUGGGGAUGGACCUGUGGCCUAUCAGCUAGUUGGUGAGGUAAUGGCUCGCCAAGGCAAAGACGGGUAGCCGAACUGAGAGGUUGAUCGGUCACACUGGAACUGAGAUACGGUCCAGACUCCUACGGGAGGCAGCAGUGAGGAAUUUUGCGCAAUGGGCGAAAGCCUGACGCAGCGACACCGCGUGGGGAAGAAGGCCCUCGGGUUGUAAACCCCUUUCGUGAGGGAAAAAGUCUCGGGCAACCGGGAUGAUGGUACCUCAGGAAGAAGCCACGGCUAACUCUGUG
rnacentral:rRNA from 1 species